rnacentral:rRNA from 1 species
AUGUCCAAGACUGCAACGACCAAGGUGUAUCUGAAGCAAAAGUUGUAUGGGAUGAUGAUGCAGGAGGGGUCAGAUCUUGUGGAGUAUAUGAACGCCUUUAAUCAAGUCGUGACGGAUCUAGCACUCUUGGGUGCAACGGUUGACGACGAGGAUAGGGCAAUUCUGCUUCUUUGUUCGUUGCCAUCAUCCUAUGACCAUUUGAUCACUACUUUGACGCACGGCAAGGAGACCGUCAAGAAUGAGGAUAUUACUGCGGCAUUGCUAUCUUAUGAUAUGAGAAAGAAGAACGCGGUGGAAGUCUCUCAUGGUGAAGGUUUGCUAGUCAAGGGUGAGGAGUUGCGGAAGGGAUAUGAGGCUGGGAAGAACAAGAAAAAGAACAAGAAUAUACAGUGUCACAAGUGUAAGCAGUGGGGACAUAUGAGAAAGGACUGUCCAGAACUCAAUAGUGGGGCAAGUGCUAAUAAGGCAACUCAUGGUGAUGACUCAGACAGCAGUAGUGAUGUUCUCAUACUAUCAGACAGGCGGUCAACCAAAGGUGAAGCGUGGAUGUUGGAUUCAGCUUGCUCUUUUCAUGCGACACCCAACAGGGAGUGGUUCUCUUCGUACAAGUCUGGUGAGUUUGGUUUAGCCUAUGUGGGCGAUGACACAGGUUAUCGUGUUGCUGGAGUGGGUGACAUCAAAAUCAAGAUGUUUGACGGAGUUGAGCGGAUGCUUCGGGGAGUCAGGCAUGUGCCAGGGCUAAGGAGAAAUCUAAUUUCGCUUGGUGUUCUUCAUGAUGGUGGUAUGGUAUUCCGUUGUGAUCGGGAUAGGAAGACCAUGAGAAUCAUGGAAGAUAAGGUGACCGUGAUGAUUGGAGAGAGGACGGCUUCGCAUCUUUACAAGUUGCAAGGGAGCACUAUUGCAGGUGGAGUCACGGAGACUGGAGUUGCAGGAGUAGCAGCGGGGUCUAACGGCGGCGGCGGGUCUGGGGCAGACUCGUCGAGUAGCUCACAGUAA